AUCCGAUGCAGGGCCAGGCACUGAAUGCAGAUGCAUAUACUGGAGCUCAGAGGAUUUCAGUGAGUUACCCCGGCCACAGCCAGUGAGCAGCGAUGUCAAGAUGUCUUGAAUCCUGGGCCUCAGCUGCAAAGCCGUAACCAGUCCUCUGUGUUCCCAUGGGCCAGUGCUUUACAAAGGUCCUUGCAGGUUAGGAGGAAGGGGAAAUCUAAACACAGGCCUGCCCAGCACCUGCGGAGCGAAUCCCAGUCCUGAGCACCAGGCAUAGGAAGGAAGUGUCUUCAGAAGAGAAAGGAGAAGGAGUGGGCGAAUUUGCCAGUCCAGAUUAGGCUAGAAAGAGUUUACAUUCCAUAUUCAACAUGUAUUUACCUGUGAGCUGCCAGUCCUGUGCCAGGGCUUGCGGGCUCAGAGAUACAAGAACACACGGAUGAGAGGCUUUCAUUUCCGUGGGAGCUGUCUAAAGCCAGGGGAGCUUUGGCAGAGGUCUGCUUGGGCCCUCCAGGAAGAGAAGGUUCAUCCCUAGAAGAUUGUGGUAUUUCUGGCCAUACGCAGGAAAGGUGCCACAGAUGCUCAAGUAUAGGCAUCAGCUACCACCCCAUCUGCUGGUGGUGCUCAUACUUCUCCGGGAUACCUCCCCUCCAGUCUCCUCCACCCCUACAGGGUCAGCACUGCUCUUAAGCCUUGAAGUGUCACAUCUGCAUGGCAGCUGCCAGCAAAAGGGAGAAAAAUCUCUGUAUCCCUUCAGGUGACACUAGUUGCUGUAUGGAUAAACACCUAAAUCUCACUUGGCUGAACACAAUAAAAGUUUAUCUGGUGCUCACAGCACUGCCCAGUGGGGAGUCAGCUCCACACAGUCAUUCGUAAA
rnacentral:lncRNA from 1 species